rnacentral:lncRNA from 1 species
AAAAAACUCGGUACUCAAACACGUUCCUCCUUACCGUUUGCUUUUUCCUCUAACUUGAAGACGAAGAACCCUACAUCGAUUUGGAGUGCCGCUGCCGGAAUUUCAUUUACUAAACGCUACAGCGCCCGUCGGAAUCGUAUGUACUAUUCUCUCUCCCCCUCAAUCUUGUUUUUCGACACUUGUAAUCACGAUUUGACGAACCCUAGAUAAAUUUCAGUUUCUAGUGUUUGCUCCACUUCACCACCACUGUCGUCGGUAUCUUCCACAUUCCCACUACCGUAACUGUCGCCGGUUCCUCCCACUCCACCACCACUGUGGCCAGUUACUCCCAAUCCACCCCACCGGUACUUGUAAUCAGGUAUGUCGUUCACAACUUCAAAAAUUAUUUGAGAGGUUUGUUCAAACUUCAACCUGGUAUAUAUGUGUUGUAUGUAUAAGUAUGUAUCAAUGUAUAUCCUCAAUUUCACAUCAAUAUGUUGUAUUUAUCAAUUUGUACAAUUUCACAUCAGUUUGUAUCAAUGUAUGUAUAUAAAUGGCUUUAUGAGUUUGUACUUGUACCAAACAACAUAUAAUUUGAAAUAAAUAUAAUAAGAACAUUACUAGCUAUAUUAAUAACAGGCAAAAUAUAAGAAUAUAUUUGAGUUCAAGCAUGAAAGAGACAUUCCUCAAUAUGUUGUAUUAGUGUAUGUAUAUGUAUGGUUGUGUCAAUGUGUAUAUGUUACAUAGUAAGUUUUCAUUCCUUGUUAUGCCUUCGUUCAACAAGUAGAUAUUCGUGGUGUCAUCAUAAUUUGCUAAACUGAUGUUGUUUUGAUAAAACAACAUAUCUGUUAGUAUUUGUAUUGUUAACUGGUUAAAUGGUUAAGUUGUUAAAUUGUAUUGUUCACUUUUUGUUUUAACAAUUUUAAAUAAUUACCUUUAGACGAGAUGUCACAGAAUAGAGAAUGGAUGUACAUAAUGAGACUCAC